UACGUAGGGUGCAAGCGUUGUCCGGAAUUAUUGGGCGUAAAGAGCUCGUAGGCGGUCUGUCGCGUCGGAUGUGAAAAUCCAGGGCUCAACCCUGGACCUGCAUUCGAUACGGGCAGACUAGAGUUCGGCAGGGGAGACUGGAAUUCCUGGUGUAGCGGUGAAAUGCGCAGAUAUCAGGAGGAACACCGGUGGCGAAGGCGGGUCUCUGGGCCGAUACUGACGCUGGGGAGCGAAAGCGUGGGGAGCAAACAGG
rnacentral:rRNA from 1 species